rnacentral:rRNA from 1 species
AUUGAACGCUGGCGGCAUGCCUUACACAUGCAAGUCGAACGGUAACAGGUCUUCGGAUGCUGACGAGUGGCGAACGGGUGAGUAAUACAUCGGAACGUGCCUAGUAGUGGGGGAUAACUACUCGAAAGAGUGGCUAAUACCGCAUGAGAUCUACUGAUGAAAGCAGGGAAUCGCAAGACCUUGUGCUACUAGAGCGGCCGAUGGCAGAUUAGGUAGUUGGUGGGAUAAAAGAUUACCAAGCCGACGAUCUGUAGCUGGUCUGAUAGGACGAUCAGACACACUGGGACUGAGACACGGCCCAGACUCCUACGGGAGGCAGCAGUGGGGAAUUUUGGACAAUGGGCGCAAGCCUGAUCCAGCAAUGCCGCGUGCAGGAUGAAGGCCUUCGGGUUGUAAACUGCUUUUGUACGGAACGAAAAGCCCCGGGUUAAUACCCUGGGGUCAUGACGGUACCGUAAGAAUAAGCACCGGCUAACUACGUGCCAGCCGCCGCGGUAA